UUUACCUCUGUUGCGAGUAAAUUAUUGGAAGAGGUUUUACCCCACAGGAUCUAACUGACCUGUGAAAAAAAACCAAAGGGAAAGUCAUUGACAGUAACUCUAUAAAAUUCUAAGCAGUGAUUAAAGUGUUUAUCUCCAGAAGUACAUGCCAGGCCUCUAAUGUUAUCUGAGGUCAUGCUGGCUUGACAGUGUCAUAAAUCUGAACAUAGAGCCCCACCCAUGAAGUUAUCUGAGGUGGUGGCUAACACAACAUGGGAAUCACUUCAGACAGCUGGAGCUGCUGUUGUGUUCCUUUAGGUCUUAUAAGUAGUUUGACCUUUAAAUAUUGUGUUGUUUGGUUGAGGCAUGCCACUGUCAGCUUCAUGGUUUUGCUCUGUUCUGAGGUAUCGCAGGAGGUUUCACCCCACAGGUUCUAACUGACCUGUGAAAAAACUAAAACCAGAGGGUAAGUCAGUGAAAGGGGAGGUUUGUUGUACAUAGUUCUUACUAACAAUAAAAUGAUUGUUCAUCAUUUGGAGUACCAACCAGACCUGUGAAGUUAUCUGAAGUCAUGGUGGCUUGACAAUGCCAGAAAUUCAAAUGUCGAGCCCCACCCAUGAGGUCAUCUGAGGUGGUGGCUAACAGAACAUGGGAAUCACUUCAGGAAACUGAAGCUGACUGUUGUGUUCCUUUAGGUCUUAUAAGUACAUGUACUUUGACCUUUAAACAUUGUGUUGUUUGGUUUAGGCAUGCCAUUGUCAGCUUCACAGUUUUGCUCUGUUGCAAGUAAUCGCAGGAGGUUUCACCCGGCAGGUUCUAAAUGACCUGUGAAAAAACUUAAACCUGAUGAGAAGCCAGUGAAAGGUCAUGUCAUUGUCAGCUGCAUGGUUUCUCUCUGUUACAAGUUAUCGUAGGAGGUUUCACCGCACGGGUUCUAACUGACCUGUGAAAAACUAAAACCAGAGGGGAAAUUUAUGAAAGGUAAGUUUAUCGUAAUUCUGUCUAUCUAUAAAAUAGUUGUUCAUCGUUUGGAGUACCAACCAGACCUGUAAAGUUAUCUGAGGUCAUGGUGGCUUGACAAUGCCAGAAAUCCAAAUGUAGAGCACCACCCAUAAGGUCAGCUGAGGUGGUGGCUAACACAACAUGGGAAUCACUUCAGACAGCUGGAGCUGACUGUUGUGUUCCUUUAGGUCUUAAAAGUUGUUUGACUUUAAAAUGUUGUGUUGUUUGGUUGAGGCAUGUCAUUGCUAGUUCCAUGGGUUUGCUCUGUUGUGAGUAAUCACAGGAGGUUUCACCCCACAGGUUCUAACUGACCUGUGAAAAAACUUAAACCAGAUGAGAAGCCAGUCAAAGCUUCAAGACCCAUUCACAUACCUGGCUUGACCUUAUCUUGGGCCAUUUCCAUAAGCUCCAUUUGGAAGAUAUGGGCUACACUAGUCGUAAUAUGGUCAGUUGAAAAGGACUAUGGAACCAGGCCACAUAAUUGUUGUGCAGUUGUGUUGGAUCAGUGGGUCUGUUUUAAGUGCCAAGUUUGCAGGUAGGUCAGCUUACCUUCUUAAUGAAUUUUAAACAUCGCAAUGUAUCCUAUUAUAUUCAUAUUGGUAGUUAUUGCAAUAUACAGAUACAUGUAAUGUACGUCUACUGGAAUCUCUUGCUGCAUCUUGCUGAUGAAGCAUUUGAAAUGCCCUGUUAAAGACCAAAAUGGCCAAAAUCGAUACCCUACUUAUGACCAAAA